GGAUUGUGGCUCAAUGGCAGAGCGCUUGCCUCAUAUGUGUGAGGCUGAGUUCGAUCCUCAGCACCA
rnacentral:tRNA from 1 species